rnacentral:rRNA from 1 species
CGCGUAGGUGGUUUGAUAAGUUUGAUGUGAAAUAUCAGGGCUUAACCUUGAGGAGUCAUCAGAUACUGUCAGACUAGAGUACAAGAGAGGUCAGCGGAAUUUCCGGUGUAGCGGUGAAAUGCGUAGAUAUCGGAAGGAACACCAGUGGCGAAGGCGGCUGGCUGGCUUGAUACUGACACUGAGGCGCGAAAGCGUGGGUAGCGAACA